rnacentral:lncRNA from 1 species
UCAGCCGCAUGCACCCCAACCCUUUUCCCUCUUCCCUCUCUCGAUUACACACCUGCCACCGGAGAAACUCUGUUCGGCCGGCACCGUUCACCGGCGACCUCUCCGUCGCACACCCAUGAUCUCCUCCUUCUCCACCGGCCAUGAACACAACUCUGCCUCCCUCCUCUCCCCUCGGUUUCACGGCGCGAAGUCCACAGCCGGUCACUGAUAAUACACCGAUAAUGGCCGACAGUGGUCGUGGUGCUGUUUUCUAAGCCGCGACCCAGCCCCGUCUUUCCCUUGUCCUCUCUCUUGACCCCUCUCAGGUCCGGUCAAUGCUGGUUAUCUUUAUGGCGACCCACCGGUAACGGAAUGAUAACGAUGAUGAUGAACUACAGACGAUGAUGACGAUGUUGUGAUGAAUGGUGAAGGAUGACAACGACGGUGGUGACUAUGCCAGGUAAGUUCCAGCUUCGGGUUCGAGUUCGGUUUGGUUUCGGUUCGUUCAGGAUGGUCAGACUCCAGCGGGUUCGUUUCGAAGCGGGUCGGGUUCGACUCAGGUAACCAGUCAGCAGAUUCGGUUCGGAUCUCGUCUGGUUCAGUCUCGGGUCGCACAACCACAUGUUCCUCACCAUUCGGUUAGUUUACACCAAUGUUGGUACCUGUGUUUUGGUCUUGUGUAAUAGUUGGCAGUUUGUUCGAUUCAUGUAAUACAUCGUGACCAGCUGCUUGUUUAUAAUCUCAUCCUUUUGUGCUAUGUGUUGGAGUAAAAAUCAACGUGUGUCUAUUUGUUUUGAUUUGAUGAAUAAAAAAAAUGAGUAUAAACUGUUACUGGUGAUGAUUCGGUUCUAGAACUAGGCUGUGGUUGGUAGAAAUAUGAUGAUAAUGUUCGAGUUAGGUGUCUUGACUUAAGUAGGCAAUUGCUUAAUUUAAUCUAAAGGAGUGGAGGCUAGUCAAUGAUGGUGGCCUACUGGUAAUCGUCUAAAUACUACUAAUAAACAUAUGAUUCGAUGAUGAUGGAAUAAAUGCCUUAAAUUGAUCCAACGUGGAACAUGAAAACAUUGGUGGUGAUUAUUUAUGAUUUUAUUAGAAAUAGGAAUUCUCAUGUAUCAAAAGAAGUAACUGUUUGAUCUCUUAACUGUUACGUUAAGCAUGAUUAGUAUUAAAUUAUAAAGGCUUGUGCAUGACAAACUAAAUUGAUCCGAUCCGAUUGAUUAAUUAUAACAUUAAUGUUUAAAGGUUCGAUAGCAUGAUGUUCUGUUUGAUCCGAGUUACGUGUAGAACAUGUUAUUUGCUUCUAUUAUUGGCUCGAGGGCAAUUAGGGUUCAUACAAAUAAUCUUAAUGAUUGACUUGGUUUGAUCUAUGUGGGGUGUUGUUAAUUGCCGUUAAUGAUUUGAUAUUUAUUAGGGUCCAUAUAAAGAUAAGCUAUUUGAUUGUGCCGUUAGGAAAUACGAACUUGCGACUUGUGAGUGUUUAUGGCUUGUACACUUGCUGUGAUAGUAGUAAUGAUAUGUGAUGUACUUGUUUGCUACUUGUGUAAUACGUGAUAACCUACGUGGUGCAUGAUGAAUAUAAACUGAUCGUUGUUGGUACACAAUGGUAGGACGUGUUUGAUGGACUAUUAAGCAAGUAACUAACCUUACCGAGCAAACCAAGGUGAGUUCACACUUUCUACAAGGCAUGGGAUUCCCAUGGGUUGGGAAUGGGUAAAGGAUUUAAACUGAAACUGCAUGAUCUCCUGGUUUGGGACACGUACACACCCUCUUUAUUGAAGGGUGACAACACGUGAUAAGAAUAUAAUCGGAACCUGCGUAAUCUCCUGGUUUGGGGAUUACGUACACACCCUCUUUAUUGAAGGGUGACAACACGGAUACUAGACCAAAACUCUCUAUCAUGAAGUCCCUCCUUUUAGAUCGACUUAAUCGCCGGGCCAAUGGCGAGCGGGUCAUUAGUUAGAUAGCGCUAUUUAGGUUUGACAAGCCUCACACCGUGCCGCAGAGGACGGGCGUGAACUAAUGGAUCUGGGCACGUCGAUGAUGAUAGACAUUGACAUUAGGGCACCAACUUACUUCAGUCAGUGGUCGAUAUGGUAAACGGGUCUAGUGGUUCACAUGGGGAAGCCCCCACUGGUUAUGGUUUGGGAAGAAGGAAUUGGUUAAUCAUAUUUGCAACUAUGGGGUAACCCCCACGACAAGUAAGCCAGCUAAAGAAUAACUAUGUUUUUGAAACAACUUUAAACGAACACCCAACUGUGAACUCGCUCAACUUUGUUGUUGACUCGUUGUUACAUGCCUUGCAGGUCUAUAUGCUUAUAUUAGUUGCAACUUGCUGUCUGGGAAACUGGAGUGGUCAUGGGUCGAGAUACAUGGAAUCGCAAUACAAGCUCAAUGGUUUAUGUACUCUUGGUCUACUAAACACUUAACAAAUGAUUUAUGCUUCCGCUGUACAAAAUGAAUGAUAUGUAACGUUUGUAACGCUUUAUAUUAAUAAAUGAAAGUU